rnacentral:lncRNA from 1 species
UUCGGGUACUUUCCGAGACUACCAACACUUAGUCCGUGUCCUGGGCCACAAGUCACGUGUUCGACUGUUACAUUGGUGGAACCACGACCGACAGAGAUACAAUCGUCUCCUGUUCCUAUUGUACUCUGAACGAUGUUAACGUUGACCGCAUUGCUCAAAUGGAUACCAUCGGUGUUGGGACUUUCAGCAGGGGCAAUAAUGUUGAUGUUGUGGAUGUUGACAUUUGUAGUUUUCACCAAGAACAUGUGGAAGGCCUUCGCGUUGACUGAGCUAAUGCCGGCAAUUUCAAGAUUUAAGAUGUUUCUGAAUUUUAGAGACUGCAUGGGUACGUAUGUACGUGUGAUCAGUACAAAACAUUUAAAAUUAAUGAUAUUAUAUAUAUAUAUAUAUAUAUCCUUACCGUUGGAGGAAGAUUGCAGUUGACCUUUUUGCCACAGCCAUCUGCUUUCCAUACGGCUUCACCUUUGCCGUGGAAUGUGCCGGGUCCGGUGAGGAGGACAUUGUCCACAUGCUCGAAUAAGAACCAUUCAGGGGUCGCGUAUCAGCUUGGUGUAGCGGUGAUUGUGCCUUGAACUUCGAUGGUCACUUUGCUCUUGCAUGGACCAGCAAAAAUUACUGGACCAGUCAAGAACUCUCCUUUAGGGACUAGUAGCGUUGCUGGUACCGGACUGGC